UACGUAGGGGGCAAGCGUUGUCCGGAAUCAUUGGGCGUAAAGAGCGUGUAGGCGGCCCGAUAAGUCCGCCGUGAAAGUCCAGGGCUCAACCCUGGAAUGCCGGUGGAUACUGUCGGGCUAGAGUCCGGAAGGGGCGAGUGGAAUUCCUGGUGUAGCGGUGAAAUGCGCAGAUAUCAGGAGGAACACCGAUGGCGAAGGCAGCUCGCUGGGACGGUACUGACGCUGGAGACGCGAAAGCGUGGGGAGCAAACAGG
rnacentral:rRNA from 1 species